GACGAACGCUGGCGGCGUGCUUAACACAUGCAAGUCGAACGGUGAAGCGCCUUCCUUUUUGGUGGGUGUGGAUGAGUGGCGAACGGGUGAGUAACACGUGAGUAACCUGCCCCCUUCUUCUGGAUAACCGCAUGAAAGUGUGGCUAAUACGGGAUAUUCUGGGUCUGUCGCAUGAUGGGUCUGGGAAAGAUAUUGUUUCGGUGGGGGAUGGGCUCGCGGCCUAUCAGCUUGUUGGUGGGGUGAUGGCCUACCAAGGCGGUGACGGGUAGCCGGCCUGAGAGGGUGGACGGUCACACUGGGACUGAGACACGGCCCAGACUCCUACGGGAGGCAGCAGUGGGGAAUAUUGCACAAUGGGCGCAAGCAUGAUGCAGCGACGCCGCGUGAGGGAUGGAGGCCUUCGGGUUGUGAACCUCUUUCGCAAGUGAAGCAGGCCUGCCUCGUUUGUGGGUGGGUUGACGGUAGCUGGAUAAGAAGCGCCGGCUAACUACGUG
rnacentral:rRNA from 1 species